rnacentral:rRNA from 1 species
GCGGUGGAGCAUGUGGUUUAAUUCGAAGCAACGCGAAGAACCUUACCAGGUCUUGACAUCCCUUGACAACNUCAGAGAUGAGGCCUCUCUUCGGAGCAAGGAGACAGGUGGUGCAUGGUUGUCGUCAGCUCGUGUCGUGAGAUGUUGGGUUAAGUCCCGCAACGAGCGCAACCCUUGCCUUUAGUUGCCAUCCUUAAGUUGGGCACUCUAGAGGGACUGCCGGUGACAAAUCGGAGGAAGGUGGGGAUGACGUCAAAUCAUCAUGCCCUUUAUGUUCCGGGCUACACACGUACUACAAUGGCUGUUACAACGGGAAGCGAAGCCGCGAGGCGGAGCGAAUCCUACAAAAGCAGCCCCAGUUCGGAUUGCAGGCUGCAACUCGCCUGCAUGAAGUCGGAAUUGCUAGUAAUGGCAGGUCAGCAUACUGCCGUGAAUACGUUCCCGGGCCUUGUACACACCGCCCGUCACACCAUGAGAGUUCGCAACACCCGAAGUCUGUGAGCCAACCCGCGAGGGAGGCAGCAGCCGAAGGCGGGGCGAAUGAUUGGGGUGAAGUCGUAACAAGGUAGCCGUAUCGGAAGGUGCGGCUGGAUCACCUCCUU